GAAGUGCAAUGGAUAGCACGUUGAGCUUCUAAUCUAAAGGUCGUGGGUUCUAAUCCCAUGUGAAAUG